CAGUUGAUUCCUUUCACUCUCGUACGUACCGUUCGAUUUCUUAGACAUGACCGCUGAGCAGCGCGUGAGGGGAAAUGAGGGGAAGAUUAAAAGGAGUUGAAAUUCAAUGCGCAGUGAAUUUGCUGAGGAGAAAUGUAGUAACUGAACGAACAGACACACCAGUUUAAUUCUCUACAUCUGUUAACUACGUACGGUGCAUCAUGUUUUCAGCGGCCAUGUCUAAUUGAACUGAACCCACUGGAUCUGAAAACAAGUAAGAAUCAAAAAUACUAGCAUGUAAAUGUGGAAAUCGUUCAUGGAUCAGCGAUGUUGUUCGCAGGUACAGUUAAAGUGGUCAUUAUCAUUUUGUUGUAUUCAGUGCGAGUGGAAUUAAUACAGAACGAUGAUAACUUAUUAAGUUUAUUUUAUUUGUUCUCGCGUGAUUAUAUUGUGUACCGACAAAUGUUCUUUCUAGAACUUUAGACUACUGACAUUUUUUCCCAUGAGACGUGCAUCAGUUCAUAUUUCAUUAUAUCGUUACUAUAGAAGAUGGAGCAAGGUGACAGGUCACAACAAAUCUGAACUUCGUGGACAACCAGAAUGUUUCCUUAUUACGGACGGAAUCAUAAAUUAGCUAGCAAUAAUCCCUUGCCUUGUUACUCGGCAGUUCUGGAAGCCCUGAAGGGAGGUGUGGACCGGACACCGUGUCAAAGUGGUUCUGAGCUACUCUCUCACAGAUCUCCACGAAGUAUGGGCAAUUCUGAUCGAUGCAACCUGCCAAGAAACUCUUUUGGUUCAUAAAGUUCUCCUGCUUACUUGGGGCACGUUUAACAAAAAAAUACGAGUCUCAUACUUUACCCGGCUGCACGUUAUUAAAACCCUCACUAGACUUUGAGAGACUGUAUUAUUUCCAACAGAUAUAGGACUUAAGGUCACAGUGCGUUUCAUAAUUUAUAUCCUAGGCGAAAUAUUAGUAAUUUAACAGUUUAUAUCUUCAUCUCUACUAGUUUAUUUAACUGUGUUUCAACAGCUGUGAAGUUUAUAUGCCAUUAAAUGUGACGGCGGUUAUGAAUAGUGAAUUGAAAAUGACGUGUUAGCGAGCGGUGUACUUUAAUGCACUAACCUAUCGGAGCUUGAUGAGUUCAAAAUUUUAGACAGAAAUCCUG